rnacentral:rRNA from 1 species
UACAGAGGGUGCGAGCGUUAAUCGGAAUUACUGGGCGUACAGCGCACGUAGGCGGCUUGGUAUGUCGGGUGUGAAAUCCCCGGGCUCAACCUGGGAGCUGCAUCCGAAACUGCCUUGCUCGAGUAUGGGAGAGGGAAGCGGAAUUUCCGGUGUAGCGGUGAAAUGCGUAGAUAUCGGAAGGAACAUCAGUGGCGAAGGCGGCUUCCUGGACCAAUACUGACGCUCAGGUGCGAAAGCGUGGGGCGCAAACAGG